rnacentral:lncRNA from 1 species
UGCUCUGAUGGCUUCUUGUUCUGCCUCGGCCUUUAUUUCAUUUUGCUUGAAAAGAGUCUGUUCUUCUAUCAUUGCCUCCUGCUUUAGGAGCAAGGCCUGUUUUUCAGCAAAGGCUAUCUGAGUUCUGGCAGCCUCUGCUUUAGCACGCUUCUUCCGUGCAAGACUUGAAAUGUCAGAGACGUGGGAGCUCCCACUGUGUGAGG